rnacentral:lncRNA from 1 species
CUCCUAGAGAAGGGCUCAACAGUGAGUGCUGAGGCUGCACAGAGGAGGAAGGCAGCACAAUGAUGGAAGGCUUCCUAAAGAGAUAACACUAACAAAGUUGACCUUAGAAUUGGAGUGCCUGGGUUAGAACCCUGCUGGUACCACCUGCUUACUGCAUGCUUCUGAUGUGAGUUCAGGAGAAGACACUGGCAAGGACAGCAAAGAACAGGAGAACACUCUAGCUUCCCUGAUAGCAUUCAAGGUGCUGUCCAAAGCUCUUGAGUUUCUGCUUUCAAGUGACCCUCAGAAAUUCCUCCAUUCACUGCAGAGGUUCUGUUUCUCCUUGCUUUGUUCUGACUUUACGGCAGAACUAAGCUAAUGAGUUAGUUACUAUGGGUUAUCACUUGGAUUUGAAGAACCAUCAUUUCUAGGCAUUGCUGCUCAGAGUGGGUCUGCCCUCAGGGGAAGCUGUCUAACCAGAGCCUAACCCACUAGGGUUUUAUCAGAACCUAACUGACCUGAGGAAAAGAAAUACUCAACUCCAGCAAGCUCCAGCCUUCCAAAUGGAGGAGGAGAAAACCCAACUCCAGCCCACUUCAGCUAUCUUGUCCCACAUAAAGGGGAAGUGGAAGAAACCUGAGAAGCAGGCAUGAAGUUCACAGUCCAGAGGUAUACAAGCCACGCUGAACAUCUGAAAAUCAAUUCAUGUGAUCCAUCACAUUAGCAGACUCAAGAAAAAAAACCACAUUAUCAUAUCAGUAGAUGUAGAAAAAAAAAAUUAACAAAAUCCAGCACCCAUUCACAAUGAAAAUGCCCAGUAAAUUAGAAAUAGAAGGUAACUUCCUCAAAUUGAUAAGGAAUAUCUCUAAAAACCUACAACUAAAAUCAUACUUAAUGGUAGAAAACUAGAAGCCUUCCCAGUAAGAGUAAGAACAAGUCAAAGAUGUAUGCUCUCACCAAUGCUUUUCAACAUCAUAUUGGAAGUCCUAGCUAGUGCAAUAAGCAAAAAAAAAAAAAAAGUUAUAUUAAUAAGAACAAAAACUGUGUUUGUUUGCAGAUGACAUGAUUUUCUAUGCAAAAAA